rnacentral:rRNA from 1 species
GUACUUGCCGUAAACUAUGUAUACUUGGUGUAACUGGACUCAACCCUAGUUGUGCCGUAGCUAACGCGAUAAGUAUACCGCCUGGGGAGUACGCUCGCAAGGGUGAAACUCAAAAGAAUUGACGGGGACCCCACACAAGCAGUGGAGCAUGUGGUUUAAUUCGAUGCAACGCGAAGAACCUUACCCAGGCUUGACAUGCAGAUGACCGCUCUAGAGAUAGAGCUUUCCUUCGGGACAUCUGCACAGGUGCUGCAUGGCUGUCGU